rnacentral:rRNA from 1 species
UACGUAGGGCGCAAGCGUUAUCCGGAAUUAUUGGGCGUAGAGGGCUCGUAGGCGGUCUGUCACGUCGGGAGUGAAAACACGGGGCUUAACCCCGUGCCUGCUUCCGAUACGGGCAGACUAGAGGUAUGCAGGGGAGAACGGAAUUCCUGGUGUAGCGGUGAAAUGCGCAGAUAUCAGGAGGAACACCGAUGGCGAAGGCAGGUCUCUGGGCCGAAACUGACGCUGAGGAGCGAAAGCGUGGGGAGCAAACAGG